CAUUGAAAUCAAAGUUAAAGAAAUGAUUUUGUUGUCAGUUAUGGCAUGCACAGCAAGUUCGAUUCAGAUCACGUACCAAAUACAGUGGAUGUCAUAACUUGCCCUGCUUCUGUUUGAUUCAGAAAAGAUACAAUAGGAGGAGAACAUCGAUACUAAGAAAACACCUGUUCGUCCAUUGAAGCUAUCUUUGUUUUACCGUACAGCUUGAAAGAAAUUUAGAUGUUGAAGAAAACAAGAAAUGGUCUCAGUGUUAGCCUACAUCUUUAAGAUCAAAUAAGCAUCCAUCCGGCUUUGUCUAUACUAAAACCUAAAAAACUUUUCGAGAAAGUAGCAAAGUGAAAUUAGAAAUUAUUAAAUUACAAAAGACUAUUUUUGAAGAGGAAUUAAUCAAUAAUAGAAAGAAAUUCAGCCUUGAAGAAAAAGAAAUGGAGCAAUGACAGAAAGAAUGGGAGGAACAAAAAAGAGGUGGAGCUUCGAAGAAGAAGAAAGGCAACACAAGAGGGAAAUAUGAGCAUUGGAGAAAGAAAUAAUGUUAUAAAAAUUAAAAGAAUAAUCAAACCAUUAUAUAUA